AUUUUGGACAAUGGGGGAAACCCUGAUCCAGCCAUCCCGCGUGUAUGAUGAAGGCCUUCGGGUUGUAAAGUACUUUUGGCAGAGAAGAAAAGGUAUCUCCUAAUACGAGAUACUGCUGACGGUAUCUGCAGAAUAAGCACCGGCUAACUUCGUGCCAGCAGCCGCGGUAAUACGAAGGGGGCUAGCGUUGCUCGGAAUUACUGGGCGUAAAGGGUACGCAGGCGGCUAGUAAAGAAAGAUGUGAAAUCCCAGGGCUCAAACUUGGAACUGCAUUUUUAACUGCCGAGCUAGAGUAUGUCAGAGGGGGGUAGCAUUCCACGUGUAGCAGUGAAAUGCGUAGAUAUGUGGAGGAAUACCGAUGGCGAAGGCAGCCCCCUGGGAUAAUACUGACGCUCAGACACGAAAGCGUGGGGAGCAAACA
rnacentral:rRNA from 1 species